CCAGCUCCAAUAGCGUAUAUUUAAGUUGUUGCAGUUAAAAAGCUCGUAGUUGGAUUUCGGGUGGGAUGGUGCGGUCCGCCUCUGGUGUGCACUGCUCCGUUCCACCUUCCUGCCGGGGACGGGCUCCUGGGCUUCACUGUUCGGGACUCGGAGUCGGCGAGGUUACUUUGAGUAAAUUAGAGUGUUCAAAGCAGGCUUACGCUCUGAAUAUAUUAGCAUGGAAUAACACGAUAGGACUCUGGCCUAUCUGUUGGUCUGUGGGACCGGAGUAAUGAUUAAGAGGGACAGUCGGGGGCAUUCGUAUUCCAUUGUCAGAGGUGAAAUUCUUGGAUUUAUGGAAGACGAACAUCUGCGAAAGCAUUUGCCAAGGAUGUUUUCA
rnacentral:rRNA from 1 species